rnacentral:lncRNA from 1 species
UCUUCAUUUUAAGGUCUAUUUUGUCUGAUAUGAGUACUGCUACUCCAGGUUUCUUUUGAUUCCCGUUUGCAUGAAAUAUGUUCUUCCAUCCUCUCACUUUCAGUUUGUAUGUGUCCUUAGAAGUGAAGUGGGUCUCUUGAAGAUAGCAUAUAUAUGGGUCUUGUUUUUGUAUCCAUUCAGCGAGUCUAUGUCUUUUGGUUGGAGCAUUUAAUCCAUUAACAUUUAAGGUAAUUAUUGAUAUGUAUGUUCUUAUUGACAUUUUAUUAAUUGCUUUGGAUUUGUUUUUGUUGCUCUUUUUUCUUCCCUUCUUCUCUUGUUCUCUCCUCUUGUAGUGUGAUGACUAUCUUUAGUGUUGUAUUUGAGUUGAGUUUUCUUAUUUGUGUAUCAAUUAUUUUUGGUUUGCAGUUAUUCUGAUGUUUUGAUAUGAGUCUAUAUAUAUAUAUGAAUUUGUUUUAAGUUGUUGGUCUCUUAAUUGCAAGUGCAUCUCCAGUGUCCUGCAUUUGUACCCUCCUCUUCUCACGAUUUCUGAUUUUGGUGGCAUAAUUGUGUGUGGAUUAUUUCAUAUCUUUACUGUAUGUAUACCUUACUGGUGAACCGUGUAACUAUGAUUUUUAAUCGGAGACAAUUCAAGAUUGCUUAUAUGAUUGGGACUCACAUAUCUGUGCUCCUACAACCAUGGAACUUCUUAAGAUGGGCAUUUAGGAUCAUGAUACUGGUUUAUCAAAGAGCAAGCAAAGACUUCAAUUUCUUAAAAUGCAGUUAUACUUGUUAUUCAGACCUUUCAACAUUGAUAUGCAACAGUUAAAUAAAUAUAUCUUGAUGCUUAAAAGGCUUUUUAAAAAAUUAGUCUACAAAAGCAAUUUAGUUUUACUAAGUUUAUAAAACUCUCUAGUGUUUUGGGUUGUUCUCUUUUCUUGUUGUGUUUUCUGGACUGAAUAAGGAUCCUCUUCUAUUAUCCUAUCCAGAAGACUCUCUGUAGGGCUUCUCAGUGGAUGAGUUAUUGAGACUUGAAAGAGCAAAGGAAAGAUCAAGGGAGAGAGUUCCAGAGUCAUUUCUGGGGCACAAGUACAUGCUGAUGUCUCUAUACUCAGUUCAUCCCCACCAUCCCACCCCAUCCAGUGCCAAAGAAAAUGUUAUAUGUUUAUGAUGACAUGGUGGCAUUACCUAGAUUUUUCCUACCAGUCAAGUUUCAGAAAGAAUUAGUAGAUACCAUUUUAUUUAGUUAGGGGUAUUCUUUUUGAUGAGAACUUAUCAAGUUGGGAUCAAAGAAAUAAGCUUUAUAUAAGAUUAUUAGUAGUCCUGCUGAAAUUACAUGCUGUGUAUUGUGUGUAUAUUCUUUUUUACUAUGGAGAUCUUCAAUGGUUUUAUCAAUUUUUAAAUUAUCUUGAAGACAAAAGCUUUUAUCUAGCAUGGCUCUAUUAAUUAAAAACAGAUGUGAUUAAAGUGAAAAAUUUUGAAGGAUGUGUGGGGGUUUUAUAUAUACAUUUUUAUUAAUAUUUCAGGUGGUAUUGGCUGUGAAAUUUGCACCCUUGUGACUCUUUUUUAAUUAUAAAUGUUUUUAGGGGAAUAAAAACUUUUCAAAAGAGUUUUUUUUUUUUUUUUGGUACUUUUCCUUUCGUCAUUCCCUAAAACCUGAAAAAAUUAGAACCGUUCUUACUGAAAAUAAAAAAUGUAUAAAACUCCAUUCAUGUUUAUUUUAUAGUCAUUUUACACACCCUUACAUAGACUUCUAGUUAUUCCAUGACUAAGUGUACAUUUUUAAAAGAUACCUAUUAUUUUUUAUGUAUUCUGCCAAUAUUGGAACCUGUUGUAUGAAUAUUGAUCCCUGUUGCUUCCAGGGUUGUUUUUUUUGUUUUUUUUUUUUUUUUUUUUUUUUUUUUGUCUUUUCUCCUUUUUCUAGGGCUAUAUGGCAUAUGGAGGUUCCCAGGCUAGGGGUCUAAUCGGAGCUGUAGCCACCGGCCUAUGCCAGAGACACAGCAACGCGGGAUCUGAGCCGCGCCUGCAACCUACACCACAGCUCACAGCAACGUCGGAUCCUUAACCCACUGAGCAAUGCCAGGGAUUGAACCCACAACCUCAUGUUUCCUAGUCAGAUUUGUUAACCACUGAGCUACGAUGGGAACUCCGAUUUUUGUUUGUUUUUGAUCACAGCUAUAAGUAGAAAACCUAAUUCUGACCUGGUCAUAAUUUUUCUUUACCUUAGUUGGAAACUCUGUAAAGUAUUUGCUCUGCCUCCUGCAUAAUAUCUCUAUCCCUGAUCAUGUGGACAUUUCCUCCCAUCUCCAUUUACUCAUAAAGAUAUUAAUUCUUUGGUGUUCCAGAGACUUAUUUUAUUUUUGCUGAAUACUAUUACCAGAUUCUCAGUUAGCCUGUGUCCAUAUCAACUGAAUAACUACUUUUCUAUUUUUCAUUAAAUAUAUGAGUUUUAAAGGCAUAGCCCAGAUAUUUUGAUAAUUUUGGUGGUGAGGGAAAGGAGAGGUUAUCCUGGUUUCUAAUGAGCCUGAGAAGGAUUCCCAUGCCAGCUCAUGUGCAUCCCUUUUUGAUGGUGAAUGCGUUUUCCCCCUAGAAGAUAUCUGAAGCCCAAGAGCUAUAGUCGUUGCACCAGAAGUAUUUUUUUGCAAUUUUUUUCUUCUCUUAGUGAAUCAAUUUUCCAGAAGAAAAAGUUGAAAUUUGAUAAGAUCAAUGUGGAAAGCCAAAAGUUGCUCUGAGUUAUGAUGUUAUUUCUCAGCCAGAUGCUUGUCUCUUCUGCCCAGCUGCAGAAUUUCUCUGUACACAGGGGUCUCUUUAGUGCCAAGGGGGAUAAGCGAAAAGAGAUGAAAAUAUAUCUGCUGUUGCAUCGAUGACCCCACUCGCACUGUUUCCUGCAGCGAGUUUUCCUUAGAAUCCUCAGAGGAAUGCUUUGCCUAACCACCCAUCC